UGGGGAAUUUUGCACAAUGGGGGAAACCCUGAUGCAGCGACGCCGCGUGAUUUAGAAGGCCUUCGGGUUGUAAAAAUCUUUUCUAUGGGAAGAAAAUGACAGUACCAUAGGAAUAAGGACCGGCUAAUUGCGUGCCAGCAGCCGCGGUAAUACGUAAGGUCCGAGCGUUGUCCGGAAUCAUUGGGCGUAAAGGGUACGUAGGCGGGUAAGCAAGUUAGAAGUGAAAUCCUAUAGCUCAACUAUAGUAAGCUUUUAAAACUGCUCAUCUUGAGGUAUGGAAGGGAAAGUGGAAUUCCUAGUGUAGCGGUGAAAUGCGCAGAUAUUAGGAGGAAUACCGGUGGCGAAGGCGACUUUCUGGCCAUAACCUGACGCUGAGGUACGAAGGCGUGGGUAGCAAACAGG
rnacentral:rRNA from 1 species